UGUAAUAGAAUAGGUGACUCAAGGGUGGUCGGCUCACUUCCGUACGAAAGGGGGUGGUGCCAAUGACAGUAUUCGAAUCGUUAAUGUUUGCAAUUUCUUUUGCAACAUUGAUCGUAUUGGUACUUGCAUUUAACCAUAAAAAAUAACCCAUCCUUGAGUUAAAGGCUCGAUGGGUUAUCCCUGUCAUUUUGCCAAUCCCCUUGUAGGGAACCUGCUUAUUACAUUGACCGUUUGGUGUUAGCGCACCAAGCG
rnacentral:sRNA from 1 species